GCCUGGAUGGCUCAGUCGGUUAAGCGUCCGACUUCAGCUCAGGUCAUGAUCUCGCGGUUUGUGGGUUCGAGCCCCGCGUCGGGCU
rnacentral:tRNA from 1 species